UGUCAGCUGGGAUUGGCACCAGCGGCCCUCAUGUGGAGAAUAAAGCAGUAGGAGAGGAGAUGGAUGGAAGUUAGUCUGUCUAAACAUUGAAUUUCUUGAAGUUGGACUAACACGCCCAGAUAAUGUGACUGUGAGUUAAAUAAAUAUUGCAUACCUCAGCUUUGACACAUCACAAAAGAAUAAGAAAAACAACCUGGUACUCUAUGUUUAUUGGACUGACAAGAAGCUCAAUGUACUGAAUAUUUUCAAGAUGUAGGAAGGCACAGAAUGCUGCCUGCUCAACUGGAAACUGCCAAAGGCUACCAAGUGGAAAGGGGGAAUGUUGCCACCUAGUGUAACGGAGGUGGGCACAUUCAAUAAAAUGUCUCCCCCACUGGUGCUUGAAGACUGAGACAAGGACAGUAGUCCAGUUUAACGGCGUAGUUGGGUUAAAAGUGUGCCACGGAGAUGUACGCUGACUGUCUCACGCUCAGAGGAAGAAGAGGAUGAGAGGAGCAGGUACACAGAUGUCACUCUGCACACACACAUCCACGUGUGGAGGGGAAGUUCUCGCAGGCCUCCGCACAAGAUCGGACCACCACUGACCAGCAGGGACAACCAGAGAGAGGCAACCAGAGUUUAGGCCUACUGUGGCCUUGUAGGAACACGCUCUGAUGUGCAGCGGAGCCACAGACUCACUGAUUAAGUUACUGCCGUGACAAACAGACAAACAGUUCCUGUUUCAUCAUGUGACGCUGUUCUCCACUCAAGUUUUGUAGACUGGACCUUUAAAUUUCUUUUGUUUAUUUUUUACAGUUUAAUUACAAUCAUUAACAAGCAUGAUUGACAUUUUUUUGCAGUGAGCUUUCAAUGUCUUGCUUGAGUGUGUCUUACAUGUUGACCAGCCGCAUAUAGAAAUGCUGAAACUACGUUAAUGGCAAGAUGAGAUGAUUCUUCUCAAAAUGUGAAAACAUGAAAGCCCCAGCUCAGCCAGUGCAAUACAAAAUGGUUGCCAUUCUCUUGUGAAAUGACUAUGUGAAAAUAAAACAUGCUGGAUUGACUCUGGAUGUCCACACUGGCACCAAGCAACUUUUUCCGGCAGAGGACAAUGCCCCAAUCUCAGUCGACGUAGCACAACCUCGGCCCCUUUUCUUUAACUUCAUUAAAAGCCACUUCUUUCUAA